AUAGAGUUUUUUAACUCUUUUCUAUUAUAAUAUUUAGAUUUACAUGAAAAUUUUAGUAUAAAAAAAGUAUUGAUUUAGAUAGUUUAUAUUAUUAUUAGUAUUCUCAGUAAAUAAUUUUGAUAUUUUAAGAAAUUAAGACUCAUUUAAAAUAUUUAGUAUUUACUAAAUUUGUGCCAGCAGUAGCGGUUAAACAAGUGAUGCUAUAAUAGAUAUUUUGGUUUAAUAAUUAAUAGAUUUAUUAUGAAUUAAUUAUUAAUUUUAUUAGGUGAAAUUUUGAAAUUAUAAUGGAUUUAUGUAUAGUUUAUGAGGUUAAUAAAUUUAAGUACUAGACUAGGAUUAGAUACCCUAUUAUUUUGAUUGUAAAAAAUUAUUUCCAAGUUAGUAAUAGUUAUAUUCUCGAAAAUUAAGAAAGUUGGCAGUAUUUUAGUCCAUUCAGAGGAAUCUGUCCUAUAAUCGAUAAUCCACGAUUUUAUAUACUUAUUUUAUAUAAGUUUGUAUAUCGUCGUCAAUUAAACUCUUUUAAAGAAUUUAGUGUUUAAUAUUUUUUUUAGAAAUUAAAUCAGAUCAAGGUAUAGCUUAUAGAUAAGAAGAGAUGGGUUACAAUAAAUUUAUUUAUUAUGGAAUAAAAAUUGAAAUUUUUUUAUGAAAGUGGAUUUGAUAGUAAUUUUAUUUAAAUUAAUAAUAUGAUUUAGGCUCUAAAAUAUGUACAUAUUGCCCGUCGCUUCCAUUCUAAAGUGGAAUAAGUCGUAACAAAGUAGAGGUACUGGAAAGUGUUUCUAGAAUGGC
rnacentral:ncRNA from 1 species